rnacentral:rRNA from 1 species
CCCUUAGUAACGGCGAGCGAAAAGGGAAGAGUCCAGCGCCAAGUCUUGACGCCAAAGCGUUCAAGAGAUGCGGCGUUAAUGUAUUAUCGCAUCGUACAUUGUUACCUGUUUCAAGUUCCCUUGACAGGGACAUCCAUAGCGGGUGCUAGGCCCAUAGAGGCAGGAAACCAGUGUGCGCAGAUAAUGCAUUCUAGAGUCAGGUUGCUUGAGAGUGCAGCUUAAAGUGGGUGGUAAACUCCAUCUAAGGCUAAAUAUGACAGCGAGACCGAUAGCAAACAAGUACCGUGAGGGAAAGUUGCAAAGCACUUUGAAGAGAGAGUUCAACAGUACGUGAAACCACUGGGAGGCAAACAGAUGGAACCACGAAGUUGCGCCUCGCUCGAUUCAAUCAUUGAUACUGGUUACCGGUUCUUGUGUGGAUCUUUUCGGAGAUUAGCAAGUGUCGUGGAACUUGUUUCAAUGGUGCAUUUCGUGUGAGGAUGCUAAGCCACGUUCGAUUAGAGUUGGGACGGCCGUAGGACAGAAUUCGAGGAAGGUGACCGGAAAGUGCUUGCAUUUUUCGGUGUUAUAGCCUUGAAUUGGUACCGUCGCCUAACAAACUGAUCGAUAGAAAUUCUCCUUAGGAGUUAAACUGUGUCUGCCUGUAACCAUUAGUCAACAUUUCGAAGUGUUCUUUACGUAUCUUUGGUGCGGAAAGGCAUUUCAACAAUGUUGGUUAGUGGUUGCUUGCGUGACAUGGUGGAACUGUGGCGCGAGUAGGUCGGUUUCCCUCUGACCC